rnacentral:rRNA from 1 species
AUGGGUGACUAUCUAGCACAGUUCAGAGAGCACGUGUAUGUAGUCUGCGCUGGUGAAUGGAAGCCCCCGCCGCAAAAAAGAAGCGGCUCUUCCCACGGCUCUGUCACCAUUGACUCUAUUUAUUAUUAUGGUAAAUCAUUGUAUCAAGAUGUCAAUCUUAGAUCUUAUUUUAGUUCGAUACGUCCACCUACGAAACUCGCCCUUGGCUUUCGUCUCAGUAGGUGUAUUAUUCUACAUUUUCCCAAAAGGACAUUCAUUCAUUUCUUUCUUCCUGGGCGAUCACCACGACUAAAACGAAAAAAAGAUAAGAAAUCAAGACCCGUACUACAGGAAAAGGGCUGGUGGCCGACAUUUGGGAAAGUCGGGCCGAUCGGGUGUCUUCAUUCAAGCGAGGGUACAGAGGAAGAACGAAACGAAGUGAGAGGCCGGGGGGCAGGGAAAAGAGUCGAGUCGAUCGACCGGGAGAAGCAAAACGAAAUCCGGAUUUGGCCGAAAAAGAUGCAACGUUAUGGAUACCAUGACCGAUCACCAUCGAGAAAGAAGAAUUUUGAUAAAUCACUUCGGGUGAGCGGGGCCUUCAAGCGGCCUCAAUACGCCGGGGUUGUAAAUGACAUACCUUUCCUUAUGGGAAAUGCCGCCUCCUUACUAAAAAGGAAUAGAAUCAAGUUAUUUUUACCAAAGAAGUCCCGCUCUGACGGCCCGACGAGUCAUCUACUAAAAAGGACCCUCCCCGCUGUGCGCCCCUCCUUGAAUUAUUCGGUCAUGCAAUACUUUUUUAAUACUAAGAACUGA